rnacentral:lncRNA from 1 species
UUUCUCCGGAUAGAGAUUGUGCUCUUCUUGAGCUGCUGCUGGUUGUUGGAAGGGUUCUUAUCACAAAAAUGGCUUACCCUGAAAAGAACUUAUACAAAGGAUUGUUGAUUCUGCCAGGAUGGAUGAAAGCUAAAUCUGUAAUACGAAGAGAUGAGAGAAGUCAGAUAGUCAGGAGAAAGUAAAGGCAUGUGGGGUACAAAAUAAUUGUGCAAUUUUAGCUGUGACUCUUUCACCUCUGUUUUCUUGUAUUCAUAUCAUUACUAUUCUAAGUAACAUCUCAGAUACAAAAUGAGCACAGUACCUGAAAUGGGAAAAAAGAUUAGAAAAGCUACUCAGAACCCUAAAAGAAAAGUUAGUAUAAUUUAGAAACUAUUUACUGGAUCAGUGUUUUUAAGGUACAUGUGAAAAUAGUAUGAAUUGAGGUGCUGAUACUGAAGUUGUGAUUGACCUGUUGGCUUGGCGCUGUGUCCCAUCUGAAGUGCAGGCUUAGGACAGAUCUUUCAACCCCCCUGGAAAGAGAAGUUGCACUCCAAAAAAAGAGGCUGGUCAGUGGGGAUUCCCUGGUUGCAUAUUCCAAAGAACUCAGCCACUUUUGUCAGAGAAUCGUAGAAUCAUUAAGGUUGGAAGGACUGCUAAGAUCUAGUCCAACUAUCAACCCAUCCCCACCAUACCGCUAAACCGUGUCACUCAGUGUGACAUCUGCCUUUGUCUUGAAAACCUCCAGGUAUGGUGACCCUAUCACCUUCCUGGGCAGCCUGUUCCAAUAAGAAGAUUGCAUCUAAAUCUGCUAACACCAUAUUAAGACCAAAUAAGGCCAAUUAUUGUUGUCCUUAACACUUUUUUUUUUUUGAGACUUUGAAGAAGAGAGGGAUCAUCUGGAGCAGCUGCUAACUAAGCUGCACUCAGUUCCAGCCCAAAGGCACAGCAGGAGCUAGAUGGUGUUUGUCUAAAAAAUUGGCUAGAAGUCACCUUUUCAUCUGUCCCACAGCAGAAAGAGCCAGGAGCCCCAGCUCAGCAGGUGACAAGUUGGAAAGGAAACCAGAACCGGCAGUAGGAAGUCUCCAGCUAUGAGGUGGGGACACCAAACCUUUCUGUUGCUGUGAGCUGGAAGGGGAACAGCUGAGUACAUGGCUGGCCACUGCUGAGCUAAAAAAGUGCAGGGAUCAAACCGAGCUUUGGGUGCAGAACCAAUGGGGAGGUGUUGCAGGAAGGGGAAUGAGGAAGGAGUGGCUGCAGAGCUGUGCCUGGGCCACUCACCAGCAGUGGGUAGGAGUCCCCAUUGCUGGCAGCAUCCUGCUGCAGGAAGCACUUGCUGAGUCAACAGGAAAUGGCAGACAAACAUAAAGCAUUGGAGAGGAAAGCAAAUGUUGCAGCUUGGAAUGCAAAGAGCAAUGUUUUCAUCAGUGCCAUCAUGUUGGCUGUGGAUCGCUAUUAUUUCCUUGAAAGAAGUUGGAAGAUGGAGAGUCGAUCCUGCUUCACACCUCCAAGAGAUGUGCACAGAGUGAGUUUGCAAUGCCCUGGUGGCUGCCCGGUGCCCCAUGAAGCUCAGCAUCAGUACUUCUCUGUUGCUUGCAGGUCACAAUUGACAGCAGCAGUUUAAUUAAACAAAAGCAGCACGGCUGUUUCUUGCUAAAGCAGCAGACCCUAAUCAUCUGCUAGAAAUGGAUUCCUCCCCCUCUCACUGAGGAUAAACACUUGGAGCACUUGCAAAUUCUGAUAAGUGAGUUCAAGCCUUCAUUGUUAUCUUGCUUUCUAUACACUGCAGAGUUGUUGGGAAGAAUAAAAUGAGACAGAAAUCUUUAUUAUUCUUCCUAAGGGAUUCAUUGCAUCCUUCUUUACAGUGCAUUGUUAUAUUACCAAUUUUCACUGUACAUGCUCUUAAUAAAUACGUAGCGUUAC